UCCCAAAAUUAAUUUUAACGUCUCCUCGGCUUGCACCAUCUCGUUCGAAGCCGAUGCCCAGUACUGUGUCACGCAGUUUCAGUGGCUAUACCAAACAAUCUGACAACCGCGCGACAUCUUGGACGAGAAAGAAGACGAAGAAGAAUUGCUAUGGCAUCGCCAGCGGCUGCUCUUAGGUGGACCUUGGCCGUGAAGUCAAAGGUAUAAACAAGUGAACAACUUUGACAGCCUCGGAUUCCGCCCAGUGUCGGCCAGCGCGAAUGGGCGAGGAGUCCGGAUCGCCCUACGCUGGUGUAUACCUCAUACCAGUCGGCGUCGCGGUCACCUGGUUAGCGUUCUUGCUCCUUUACGCUAAAGCAUCGCGUCGCGCUAAAGAGGACAUACUCAAGGGCACGAGAUUUUACUCCGACGAAAACUUCGUCAGCGACGAGUUCGUCUACAACAUAAUUAUUCAAACUGGCUACGAACCGGAAAGUGGACCGCGUGGAUCUGUGGGACCAGACGCGGGCCCUGCACUACGUGUUCGUCAUCAACCGCGUGAUGUUGUUUGCCCAAAGGCUCACGGAGCGCUUCCAGCCCCUCGAUGCCGAAGGUGGAGCUCAGGUGCCGGUCGACGUGCGCU